GAUGAACGCUGGCGGCGUGCCUAACACAUGCAAGUCGAGCGAACAGACGAGGAGCUUGCUCCUCUGACGUUAGCGGCGGACGGGUGAGUAACACGUGGAUAACCUACCUAUAAGACUGGGAUAACUACGGGACACCGGAGCUAAUCCCGGAUAAUCUCUUGCACCGCAUGGUUCAAUAGUGAAAGACGGUUUUGGUGUCUCUUCUAGCUGGAUACGGGCCGCAUUAGCUAGUGGGUAAGGUCACGGCUUACCAAGGCGACGAGGCGUAGCCGACCGCCGGGACGGAUCGGCCGCACGAGAACGGAGACACGGACCAUACUCCUACGGUAGGCAGCAGUAUGGAAUCGGACGCAAUGGGCGAAAGCCUGACGCAGCAACGCCGCGCGAGAGGUGAAGGUCUCCGGUGCGUAAAACUCGGUUAUGAGGGAAGAACAGAUGUCUAAGUAACCAUGGCCGUCUUGACGGUACCGAAUCAGAAAGCCCCGGCUAACUACGUG
rnacentral:rRNA from 1 species